rnacentral:rRNA from 1 species
AAUCAACGCUGGCGGCGUGCCACAGACAUGCAAGUCGAACGAUUAAGACUUCCUUCGGGAAGUGCAUAAAGUGGCGCACGGGUGAGUAACACGUAAGUAAUCUACCCUCGAGUGGGGAAUAACGUUCGGAAACGAACGCUAAUACCGCAUAAUGCAGCGGCAUCGCAAGAUGACAGUUGUUAAAGGAGUAAUUCGCUUGAGGAGGAGCUUGCGGCAGAUUAGCUAGUUGGUAAGGUAACGGCUUACCAAGGCUACGAUCUGUAUCCGGUCUAAGAGGACGGUCGGACACACUGACACUGAAUAACGGGUCAGACUCCUACGGGAGGCAGCAGUCGGGAAUUUUGGGCAAUGGGGGAAACCCUGACCCAGCAACGCCGCGUGAAGGAUGAAGUAUUUCGGUAUGUAAACUUCGAAAGAAUGGGAAGAAUAAAUGACGGUACCAUUUAUAAGCUCCGGCUAACUACGUGCCAGCCGCCGCAGUAACAC